rnacentral:rRNA from 1 species
AUGUUCUACGGACCAAAGGGGGCUUUUAGCUCUCGNCGUGAAGAGAGGCCCAAGUGAGAUUAGCUAGUUGGUGAGGUAAAGGCUCACCAAGGCGACGAUCUCUAGCUGUUCUGAGAGGAAGAUCAGCCACACUGGGACUGAGACACGGCCCCAGACUCCUACGGGAGGCAGCAGUGGGGAAUAUUGCACAAUGGGGGAAACCCUGAUGCAGCCAUGCCGCGUGUGUGAAGAAGGCCUUCGGGUUGUAAAGCACUCUCAGUUGUGAGGAAAGGUUGGUAGUUAAUACCUGCCAGCUGUGACGUUAACAACAGAAGAAGCACCGGCUAACUCCGUGCCAGCAGCCGCGGUAAUACGGAGGGUGCGAGCGUUAAUCGGAAUUACUGGGCGUAAAGCGCACGCAGGCGGUUUGUUAAGCUAGAUGUGAAAGCCCCGGGCUCAACCUGGGAUGGUCAUUUAGAACUGGCAGACUAGAGUCUUGGAGAGGGGAGUGGAAUUCCAGGUGUAGCGGUGAAAUGCGUAGAGAUCUGGAGGAACAUCAGUGGCGAAGGCGACUCCCUGGCCAAAGACUGACGCUCAUGUGCGAAAGUGUGGGUAGCGAACAGGAUUAGAUACCCUGGUAGUCCACACCGUAAACGCUGUCUACUAGCUGUGUGUGUAUUUUAUANNCGUGCGUAGCGAAGCUAACGCGCUAAGUAGACCGCCUGGGGAGUACGGCCGCAAGGUUAAAACUCAAAUGAAUUGACGGGGGCCCGCACAAGCGGUGGAGCAUGUGGUUUAAUUCGAUGCAACGCGAAGAACCUUACCUACACUUGACAUGCAGAGAACUUUCUAGAGAUAGAUUGGUGCCUUCGGGAACUCUGACACAGGUGCUGCAUGGCUGUCGUCAGCUCGUGUCGUGAGAUGUUGGGUUAAGUCCCGCAACGAGCGCAACCCUUGUCCUUAGUUGCCAGCCUUAAGUUGGGCACUCUAAGGAGACUGCCGGUGACAAACCGGAGGAAGGUGGGGACGACGUCAAGUCAUCAUGGCCCUUACGUGUAGGGCUACACACGUGCUACAAUGGCAUUUACAGAGGGAAGCGAGACAGUGAUGUGGAGCGGACCCCUUAAAGAAUGUCGUAGUCCGGAUUGGAGUCUGCAACUCGACUCCAUGAAGUCGGA